AUACGUAGGGGGCGAGCGUUGUCCGAAGUUACUGGGCGUAAAGCGCGCGUAGGCGGACCUUUAAGUCAGGGGUGAAAUUCCGAGGCUCAACCACGGAACUGCCUUUGAAACUGGAGGUCUUGAGGUAUGGAGAGGGAAGUGGAAUUCCUGGUGUAGCGGUGAAAUGCGUAGAUAUCAGGAGGAACACCCGUGGCGAAGGCGGCUUCCUGGCCAUAUCCUGACGCUGAGGUGCGAAAGCUAGGGGAGCGAACGGGAUUAGAUACCCCGGUAGUCCUAGCCGUAAACGAUGGAUACUAGGUGUUAGAGGUAUCGACCCCUCUAGUGCCGCAGCUAACGCAAUAAGUAUCCCGCCUGGGGAGUACGGCCGCAAGGUUGAA
rnacentral:rRNA from 1 species